GACGAACGCUGGCGGCGUGCUUAACACAUGCACGUCGAACGAAGUGGCGAACGGGUGAGUAACGCGUAAUCAACCUGCCCUUCAGAAGGGGACAACAGUUUGAAACGACUGCUAAUACCGCAUACGGAAGGAGGGGCUUCAGUCUGAUUAGCUAGUUGGAGGGGUAACGGCCCACCAAGGCGAUGAGCAGUAGACGGUCUGAGAGGGUGGACGGCCACCAGUGGACGUAGACACGGCCCAGACUCCGACGGGAGGAAGAAGUGGGGAAUCUUCCGCAAUGGACGAAAGUCGGACGGCGAAACGCCGCGUGAGGGAUGACGGCCUUCGGGUUGGAAAGCUCGGUUAAUCGGGACGCGGUACCGGAAUAGAAAGCCACGGCUAACUACGUGCCAGCAGCCGCGGUAAUAC
rnacentral:rRNA from 1 species